rnacentral:rRNA from 1 species
GACGUACUGAACCUGCGGAAGGAUCAUUA